GUUUAUAAUAAUAAUAAUAAUAAUAAUUUCAAACUCAUUUAAAUACUGACCUAUGACAUCCUGUGACAUGACAUUUAUCUGAAUUUACACAACUCAUGAUGUAACAGUAAAACAGAUAAGCUCACAGAUGAAGACCAAGCUGUAAUGCCGGCAAAAAUAUUUCACAAAUGCUUAUAGAUCAAUAAAAUCAUUAAAAAUUCAUUGCACGGCGUGCAUCAUUAUUAGGCACUUGAUAUUCAGAUGAUAUUUUCCAAGCACAUAUAUAUAUAUGCCCUUUUGGAAAAAUGGCUCUUAACCAAAAAUAAAAAUUUUGCUUUUUGGUCAAAAAAGGUUCCUGACCCCUGUUCCAGAAUCUGGCAGUAAGUUUGGGGAGCACAUUUUUAUUCCAUCUUCUAUUCUGAAAAGUCUUAAUUCUUAAUUCUUUUGCAGUAAACUUGUGUCUUUUCUCCACCUUUUUUUUUUUUUUUUCAAACUCCACUGUCCCAGUCAGCAUUUUUUUGUCCAAUGGUCAUGUCGAAAUUUUGCAAUUUCUAUAUUGCAAUAUUUUUGAAUAAUUCUCAUGGGGAUUUAAUAAUUUUUGACUUUUCAGUCCGAGUUAAAACUCUUUUUUGGCUCAUUUCAUCUGUAAAAAAAGCCUAAUAAUUCUGCACACCUGAAUAUAAGGAGUUUUUCUCUUCCAGCCUUCAUGGACAAUUAUAUAUCGCUCAUAAAUGAUUAAAUACAAAAUUA
ensembl:lncRNA